GGCAGCACCAGCGACGUCCAGAUCAGAAUUCUUUGCUCCUAUCCAGUCUUAGCGCAAUGGCUCCAAGUGCCCCUGCUGAUCUCCUGCUAAUCGGAGAGUACUCCAGGCUGACAGCCAAAGAGAAAUGUAGAUUGAUGAAGCCAAUCAUCAUUGAAAAGAGCUGCAGAGAUCGUAUAAACGACAGCAUCACUCAGCUGAAGAAGUUGGUGGAGAGGAACAUGGAGCACUCGGCAAACUGGAGGAAGCUGUCAUCAUGGAAAUGAAGCAGCACCGAGGCUGGCACACGCCCUGAGUUCAGACAUCCCACCAGCCGAAUAAAUUCAAGCGAUACACAACAAGUGUGUGCAAGAGAUCCGACACUUGUGGUCAACCCAAGAUGGCAGCAACUCUGGAAGUGCUGAAGGAAAGUGUGGAAGAGGGACCGUGUCACUCCAAUACUCAGCAGAUCCAGACAGAGUUGAAAGGCUUUGCACAUACACUCCCUCUCUCAAAAAGCUGCUUCAGUUGGACCCAGAAUCCUGCUCUUUGUGAUGUGUAAUGUCUGUGAAAUGUAGAGACUUAGGAACUUUUGGAGGUGUCAGCUCAGUGGGGUUGGUUUUCAGUGUGUCCAUCAUUUGCAAAUGUCGCCAGUGAGAUGAUGAGUAUUUAUUGCCCUGAUGCUAAGUCACACAAAUCCUGUUUCCCUAGCUGAGUCAGGCACCAAUAGCACGGAUCCAGGUGGCUUAUUUGUUGCAGACAGAUAAGCCUCCGUAUCCCCAGAUGAACUAUGAGUGUGAAUAUAGAACUGAGAGUAGGAUUUAAAUCAGCAACGUGCCACAACUGUGGCUAAUUGGACGCAAUAGAAAGACCCUGUAAUCACAGGGGCUGAGAUUUAGCCAGAGGGUUCCCUCUCCUGAUCACUAUUGCCUGCUGGUCAAGGUCAUGCUUGUGGAUAUCAGACCAGAUCCGCCUUGGUUGGAAUGCACCUCAUGGUUGAAUAUCAUAUCAACACUCACUGUCUUACUGGCGCAUGAAAAAAGGUCACUUGAGACAGGGAGGGACCUGUAGAUCGAAUGUCUAGUUCAUGUUGGUACCUUUAGGGGAGAAGGGGAGAAAAUUAGAAAGGUCAUGAGACACAUUCUUUCUCAUCCUCACCAUACUUCCCGCACGAAGACUGAGAGGGUCAGUGAAUGCAAAAUUGACUGUUGUGAUCAAGAGAUGUGGUUUUGCAUGAAAUGUUUUAUACUUUGCAAAUACUGUUUUUGUUUUAUGAUUCCGCAUGUUACAGGGUGCGAUAUACAUGAAAGUUGUUCUUGUUGUUGUUAUAAACUAGG